AAUUGAGAAAAUUAGAUUAAUUGAGGGGUUAAUUGAGAAAGGACCGAAUUGUAUAAACUGUGAAAUUUGGGGCAAAAUGGAAAUCAACAUUUUGCACUAAAGCAGUUUUGGACAGCAGCAGUAGUGUAACUUUGAAAAAUCACCAAAAAUUGUAGAGAUUGAAUUAGAGGAUGAAUAAAAUAUGAAACUAAAGCUUAUUGAGUCUAGUUUCUUAUAAAAGAAAUGAUGUGAGCAAUAGAAUUGUAAAUCAUGAGAUAUAAUAGAUUUUGUGAGACAAGGUCAGAAUGAAUUCGGGUUCCCCUGUUCUGACUUUGGAAAAUCAUUAAAAAUUGUACAAAAAUGAUUAUGAGUUAUAGUUUAUAUGGUUAGAAUCCUUAAUGAGUCUAUUUUUAGAAGAAACAAGCUAAAACAUCAUCCGAAUUCUUUACAAUGAGAUAAUUAAUUUUUAGUGAAGAGUGGUCGGAACUGUCAGACAGCGAAAUAGGGGAAACUUUAAAGAAUAAACUGUACUAUUUGGCUGAACCAAAAAUUAUGAAAAUUUUAUGGUAUGAAUAUAUGUGAGUCUAGUUUUAGGGAAAAUUAACGGAUCUUAAUUUGGAGCUCUGUAGCUCCGGAUAAAAAUAAUUUAGUGACUCUGACUCGGAUAAACAGCUUUGAAUAUACAUGUUAGUGAAUAUUGAAAUUAUGGUUAAUGUUGUU
rnacentral:lncRNA from 1 species